GAUGAACGCUGGCGGUGUGCCUAAUACAUGCAAGUCGAGCGAACAGACGAGGAGCUUACUCCUCUGACGUUAGCGGCGGACGGGUGAGUAACACGCGGAUAACCUACCUAUAAGACUGGGAUAACUUCGGGAAACCGGAGCUAAUACCGGAUAACAUGUUGAACCGCAUGGUUCAACAGUGAAAGACGGUCUUGCUGUCACUUAUAGAUGGAUCCGCGUCGCAUUAGCUAGUUGGUAAGGUAACGGCUUACCAAGGCAACGAUGCGUAGCCGACCUGAGAGGGUGAUCGGCCACACUGGAACUGAGACACGGUCCAGACUCCUACGGGAGGCAGCAGUAGGGAAUCUUCCGCAAUGGGCGAAAGCCUGACGGAGCAACGCCGCGUGAGUGAAGAAGGUCUUCGGAUCGUAAAACUCUGUUAUUAGGGAAGAACAAAUGUGUAAGUAACUAUGCACGUCUUGACGGUACCUAAUCAGAAAGCCACGGCUAACUACGUG
rnacentral:rRNA from 1 species